ACGGACGCUAAUACCGCAUACGUCCUACGGGAGAAAGCAGGGGACCUUCGGGCCUUGCGCUAUCAGAUGAGCCUAGGUCGGAUUAGCUAGUUGGUGGGGUAAAGGCUCACCAAGGCGACGAUCCGUAACUGGUCUGAGAGGAUGAUCAGUCACACUGGAACUGAGACACGGUCCAGACUCCUACGGGAGGCAGCAGUGGGGAAUAUUGGACAAUGGGCGAAAGCCUGAUCCAGCCAUGCCGCGUGUGUGAAGAAGGUCUUCGGAUUGUAAAGCACUUUAAGUUGGGAGGAAGGGCAGUAACUUAAUACGUUGCUGUUUUGACGUUACCGACAGAAUAAGCACCGGCUAACUCUGUGCCAGCAGCCGCGGUAAUACAGAGGGUGCAAGCGUUAAUCGGAAUUACUGGGCGUAAAGCGCGCGUAGGUGGUUUGUUAAGUUGGAUGUGAAAUCC
rnacentral:rRNA from 1 species